rnacentral:rRNA from 1 species
GACGAAGGGGGCUAGCGUUGUUCGGAAUUACUGGGCGUAAAGCGCGUGUAGGCGGUUGUCUAAGUUGGAUGUGAAAGCCUUGAGCUCAACUCAAGAAAUGCAUUCAGGACUGGGCGGCUAGAGGACCGGAGAGGAUAGUGGAAUUCCCAGUGUAGUGGUGAAAUACGUAGAGAUUGGGAAGAACACCAGUGGCGAAGGCGGCCAUCUGGACGGUUUCUGACACUAAGACUCGAAAGCGUGGGGAGCAAACAGG